ACAUGACUACAACAUAGUGUUAUUGCACCAGAUCCCAUUAGAACUCCACAGUUAAGUGCACUCAAGCUAGAUUAGUAUUGGGAUGGGUGACUACCCAAGAAGUCAUAGUGUUUUACAUGCC
rnacentral:rRNA from 1 species